rnacentral:rRNA from 1 species
CGUAGGUGGCGAGCGUUGUCCGGAUUUACUGGGCGUAAAGGGAGCGUAGGCGGACUUUUAAGUGAGAUGUGAAAUACCUGGGCUCAACUUGGGUGCUGCAUUUCAAACUGGAAGUCUAGAGUGCAGGAGAGGAGAAUGGAAUUCCUAGUGUAGCGGUGAAAUGCGUAGAGAUAGGAAGAACACCAGUGGCGAAGGCGAUUCUCUGGACUGUAACUGACGCUGAGGCUCGAAAGCGUGGGGAGCAAACAGGAUUAGAUA